rnacentral:rRNA from 1 species
UGAGGAAUAUUGGUCAAUGGGCGAGAGCCUGAACCAGCCAAGUAGCGUGCAGGAUGACGGCCCUAUGGGUUGUAAACUGCUUUUAUGUGGGGAUAAAGUGCGUGACGUGUCAUGCAUUGCAGGUACCACAUGAAUAAGGACCGGCUAACUCCGUGCCAGCAGCCGCGGUAAUACGGAAGGUCCGGGCGUUAUCCGGAUUUAUUGGGUUUAAAGGGAGCGUAGGCUGUCUAUUAAGCGUGUUGUGAAAUUUACCGGCUCAACCGGUGGCUUGCAGCGCGAACUGGUCGACUUGAGUAUGCAGGAAGUAGGCGGAAUUCAUGGUGUAGCGGUGAAAUGCUUAGAUAUCAUGACGAACUCCGAUUGCGCAGGCAGCUUACUGUAGCAUAACUGACGCUGAUGCACGAAAGUGCGGGUAUCAAACAGG